ensembl:lncRNA
GUCCCUGGAGAAGGGAACAGCUACCCACUCCAGUAGCUGCUCCUGCUUCAUCUAAGACCCCAUUUUCUUCACUCCAACCCUCAUGAGUUUUCAUCUAAACCAGGAUGGCAGAAAAUAGGACUAAGGUCAGUCAACAUCUCUGAAAGCAUCUAGCACAGAUGGUUCAAUUAGGAAGAAAAUUCUAUGAAUUCUAAGGUGAGAUCCAGCUGGUGAAACACAAAGAAACCCCUUCCUUUGUACCAGAGCACUGUAGAAAUGAUGCUGAAAUGAGCAGUCUGGUUUUAUAUCCAGCGUAAGAAGCAGCUCACCACCAUUUUGUUGUUUCUCUAAAGAUGAGCACAACAAAAUCUCCUCAUUUGAAUUAUAUCAAUGAAGAUAACAUUUUCUGAACUCCAACUCUAAACAUAUGGUCUGUCAAAUGAUUUUUAUAUAUGAUUUAUGACUUUAUGAAGUCUUGUAAAGCAGAACUGAACUGCAUUAUCAAAUAAUCUAUCAUUUAUUAAAAAUAAUAAUA